GCCAGAUGGCUGUGGCUUGGCCGGGAUGCCUGGGCGUCCCGACGCGGGCGCAGUGCCGCAACCUGCGCAGCGCAGCAGCGGUCUCAGGGCCAGGGAGUUUGCCUGCCCGAAGCUGAGCACCCGUAAGGAGAUGCAGGACCUUGGGAAGGAAGGUGACUGAACCCACUCGUGGUGUGAUCACUGGCCAGGACAACCAGCCAGUUUCUGCAGCCCCUUUGAGAUCCAGAAAGGCCAAGAAGGACGUGGCCUGGCCUGGCUUGGUCUGUGUGCCUGUGGAGUACCAUCGCCCAUCUCCCCUUGCCUGGGGACUUGCUGGGACAAGUUACUUCUGCCUUCAGAGAGCGAGGUUCAAGUGUUAACACCAAGAACAUAAGGACUUACGGCUGAAGUUUUAGAAUUUCACCUGGAACAAUAACUGAAGUUUUAAGCCAAAAGUGUUAAAGUGCAUUAAAAGAUUUGCUUCAUGUGCAAAAAAAAAAAAAAAAUCCCUGCCUAUUCCUUCAGGGUC
rnacentral:lncRNA from 1 species